rnacentral:rRNA from 1 species
GCGCCGGACCGCAUACAAGUCUGUUGGAAUACAGCGUCAUAGUGGUGAGAGCCCCGUAACUGAUGCGGAUGCCCGGCGCUUUGUGAUACACUUUCGAAGAGUCGAGUUGUUUGGGAAUGCAGCUCAAAUUGGGUGGUAAAUUCCAUCUAAAGCUAAAUAUUGGCGAGAGACCGAUAGCGAACAAGUACCGUGAGGGAAAGAUGAAAAGCACUUUGGAAAGAGAGUUAACAGUACGUGAAAUUGUUGGAAGGGAAACGCUUGAAGUCAGACUUGCUAUUCGGAAUUCAGCCGCAAGGUGUACUUUUCGAUUUGCAGGCCAGCAUCAGUUUUCGGGGGUGGAAAAGGGUUGGAGGAAGGUAGCAAUCUCGGUUGUGUUAUAGCCUCCAGCUGGAUUCAUCUUUGGGGACUGAGGAACGCAGCACGCUUUUUGCAAAGCUCUCGAGCUUUUCGUGCUUAGGAUGCUGGUGGAAUGGCUUUAAACGACCCGUCUUGA